GGAUUGCAGUCUGCAACUCGACUGCAUGAAGCUGGAAUCGCUAGUAAUCGCGAAUCAGAAUGUCGCGGUGAAUACGUUCCCGGGUCUUGUACACACCGCCCGUCACACCAUGAGAGUUGGCAAUACCCAACGUACGUGAUCUAACCCGCAAGGGAGGAAGCGUCCUAAGGUAGGGUCAGCGAUUGGGGUGAAGUCGUAACAAGGUACC
rnacentral:rRNA from 1 species